rnacentral:rRNA from 1 species
AACGAACGCUGGCGGCAUGCCUAACACAUGCAAGUCGAACGAGACCUUCGGGUCUAGUGGCGCACGGGUGCGUAACGCGUGGGAACCUGCCCUUAGGUUCGGAAUAACUCCCCGAAAGGGGUGCUAAUACCGGAUAAUGUCUUCGGACCAAAGAUUUAUCGCAUUUGGAUGGGCGCGCGUUGGAUUAGCUAGUUGGUAGGGUAAAAGCCUACCAAGGCGACGAUCCAUAGCUGGUCUGAGAGGAUGAUCAGCCACACUGGGACUGAGACACGGCCCAGACUCCUACGGGAGGCAGCAGUGGGGAAUAUUGGACAAUGGGCGGAAGCCUGAUCCAGCAAUGCCGCGUGAGUGAUGAAGGCCUUAGGGUUGUAAAGCUCUUUUACCCGGGAUGAUAAUGACAGUACCGGGAGAAUAAGCUCCGGCUAACUCCGUG